UUGGAAUUUAUAUAUUUAUUAUGUUAGGUUAAUAGUUUAUGAGAUUUUUUUUGACCUUUGCAAACUAUAAUAAAAGAUGUUAUAGAUUAGAUGGGUUUCAAUUAGAUGAACGUAACAAAGUUUAAAAUCCCAAAUUAUCAAAGGCUAUAAACAAAUCAAAACAAAGGAUAAGAAGCCAUUAGCUCUUCAUCUUCGCAACAAUAAUGUCAACCAUUUCCAUAGCAUAUUAUGUUCCUUUCGUAUCCUCCCAUGACUUUGCUGUCAAUUUAGUCACCAGUGGAGACAAUACAUUUGACGUGGUUUUUUUCUUUUAAGAAGAAAAAAUAAUAUUUUGAAUUGUACAAUUAUUAAAAUAUUUUAAAAUUUUAACUUAAUGCACACUUGAGAUUAAUUUUUUAUUUGCUUCCAGGCGAUGCAAUUAUGUUUUCUGACAAACAAAUCACUGGAUAGGAUUAGGAGGGGCCAGGAAAAACUUAGGUUAGGCCAAGCCAAUUCAUUGAUGUUAAGAUUGGUCGCGACUCCCACGUCCUUUUCUUCUCCAGUGUCAAUGGAAUGAGCCAAGUCAACUUCUCGAACCAGUUCAUUAGUCAUGUUCCAUUAAUAAGAUGCCUUUGGUAGUCUCUGCAUCACUUCUUUCAUUAUUAUUACUUUUAAACCCUAAGCCUCUAUUUUAAAAUUAAUUCCCUUUCCCUGCUAUUCAAUUGACAUUAGAAAAAUCAAAUAAGGAAGCAUUUGGAAUUCAAAAUUCCAAAUCUAAACCACAGUUUUGCCUUAAACUACUUUGAGUUGGGUUUAAAAAUUUAAAAGAAUUUCAAAAUUCAGAAAUAUCAAUUCUCUCCCUUUCUCCGUUCGUGUGCAAAACCUAUACCAAAACGGUGUUCAAAAGCCCCCUACUAUUUACACCUCAGGCCAAGUCCAAGUGAACCACAAUUGGUUACGUUCAUCCUGUAAUCUCCCCACCCAAUUUCAUUCUCUUAGCACCAGGGGCCUCCAUUGAGCCACCAGUUUGAAACUGGAAUGACAAAUCAUGCUGGUAAGGGCAAUUAGAGCCAUUCCGGCAUCCCCUUGAGCUUCUAUAGAAUAUGCACGGCUUCUGAAACCUGGGUAUCGUUUCUCUCUGAUUCAUAUUUUGUGCAAAUUCCAGGUUUUGAAAGUGCUCAUGAUGAAGGCCAGUAUGUAACAUAUUUCGCUCAUGCAUUUCCUUCUUUUCCGAUCCAUGUUCCCUAAUAAGGUUCUUAAUGUAGUUGAAAUCCUUUAUAGGAUUGGUUUUCAUGGCCACUACUUUAGUUUGCGGAGCACCAUUCGGCUGAAGAGCCAUCAUGCCUAAAGAAGGAAGUACCACAUUGGGUACAGGAUUGGGUUUCACGGUACUCACUGUAGACUGCACCUGGUUAGUUGAAGAAUACAAGUUUGCUACCCUCGGCCUAGUUGCCGACACGUUGAUGGAUUCUGGCCUGGAUAAAGUGAUAGUUGGAGCAACCUGCUUUGAUCUAGAUGUUGGAUCAGUGUCCGGUUGUGCUGGCAUCCUAGUGACUGGUGGUAGCAUCUCAUCAAGUGCAGAGUGCAAACAUCCAUUGGGAGGGAUUGGCGCUGUAGGUAUGGUAGAUUUCAGGCAGGAUGGGGGAGGCUUCGAUGUGGGUUGCAACCCACCACGUAGAUUAUGCCAGUUUCCUUCUGCAGGCGUUAAAGCCGAAGUCAUAGCAGGAUUAAGGCGUGAUGGGAGUAUUGUUCUAUUUACUGGCUUUGAUGUAAUCAUGGUUGCACUGGUCACAAUGCUAGGUGCUUGACAGUUAUUGAUCAGUUUCUCAAUCAUUUUUGGGUCACUUAAGAUUUUAACUAGCAAAUCAGUAUCGAUCAAGCUUCCCUUCUCCAGGCUUUUCAUCAGAGCAGUUGCUGCAGCAGAGGCAGCUGUAACUACAUCAGCGUCCAUAUCAGGUGAUAUUCCAACUAUUGGUUUUUCACUGGCUGGUGGCUCUUGAGCAAGGUUGUUAUAUUCUGCAAGAUUUAGGAUUCCAGACAGCAGCAAAUCCUGAGGCAAUGCUGAUGGCUGGGAGUUUACAGAAGUGUUCAAAGGUGAAGAUAAAUCAGAUGGUAAGUCUGCCACUGCCUCUUCUUCAAUAGGAGUGAGAGGGAUGAUGGGAGUGUGGCUAUCAUCAUAAUAUUCCCCUUCUAUGGCCAAUGAAAUUGAGGGACUAUGAGGAAUUGCAGAAGGGCGCAGAAAAACUGCUUCAAGCACUUCCAUUUCCCUCAGUUUUUGAGCCUCUGCCUCCCGGCUUUCUUCACCAGCUGCGACAUGCCAGUUGUGACACAUAACAAGUUUUGGAGGGCACUUCCAUUCAAUCCUAGGGAUGAGAGAUGAUUCCUUUUUCAAAAGAUUCAAAGAAUGACCGCAUUCAAACCCAGGGGGAACGUCACUGAAUUCAUCACCAUUUGAAUGAUGCAAUAUCCAUGAUGACUUCUUUUGAAGAUGAUCUUGAGAUUGUGUGCCAAUUUUAGAAGGACAAUCCUCAGUUAGAAACAGUUUUACCUGACAAAGAUUAACACCUGGUGCCCACGUUACCCUGUUCGAUUUCCUCUGUCGCUUCAUAUCUUAUAGAUUGAUUGCUUCAAUCAAAAAGUUUCACAAAUAGGUUCCAGUAACUGACAAAUUUAAUCAGAUCUAAUGAAGAAAAAUAUUUCAAAAACUUUAUCACUGAAAACGCGAGACGGAUUUAACACCCUAAAAAGAUUUAAAUUGAUUUCUUAUACUUGCGUGCUCGAGGACUGUAAAAGAUAGAAGAGGAGGAGGACGAGGACGAACGGAAGACGCGUCUCUAUAAAGAAGAGGAAAAGAAAACCCUAGAAACGUCCCUUUUCUGGCUGCCUUUACCUUUUAU
rnacentral:misc_RNA from 1 species